AUUGAACGCUGGCGGCAGGCUUAACACAUGCAAGUCGAACGGUAACAUAAAGAAGCUUGCUUCUUUGAUGACGAGUGGCGGACGGGUGAGUAAUGCUUGGGAAUCUAGCUUAUGGAGGGGGAUAACUACGGGAAACUGUAGCUAAUACCGCGUAAUAUCGAAAGAUUAAAGUGUGGGACCUUCGGGCCACAUGCCAUAGGAUGAGCCCAAGUGGGAUUAGGUAGUUGGUGAGGUAAAGGCUCACCAAGCCGACGAUCUCUAGCUGGUCUGAGAGGAUGACCAGCCACACUGGGACUGAGACACGGCCCAGACUCCUACGGGAGGCAGCAGUGGGGAAUAUUGCGCAAUGGGGGCAACCCUGACGCAGCCAUGCCGCGUGAAUGAAGAAGGCCUUCGGGUUGUAAAGUUCUUUCGGUAGCGAGGAAGGCAUUUGGUUUAAUAAACUGAGUGAUUGACGUUAACUACAGAAGAAGCACCGGCUAACUCCGUGCCAGCAGCCGCGGUAAUACGGAGGGUGCGAGCGUUAAUCGGAAUAACUGGGCGUAAAGGGCACGCAGGCGGUGACUUAAGUGAGGUGUGAAAGCCCCGGGCUUAACCUGGGAAUUGCAUUUCAUACUGGGUCGCUAGAGUACUUUAGUGAGGGGUAGAAUUCCACGUGUAUCGGUGAAAUGCGUAGAGAUGUGGAUGGAAUACCGAAUGCGAAGGCGCCCCUUGGGGAAUGUACUGACGCUCGUGUGCGAAAGCGUGUGGAACAAACAGGAUUAUAUACCCUAGUAUGCCAAGGGCGAAUUCCACAUGUGGAUUUAUAUCUUGUCGAUACUCGUGUUCCUCCUGGUGCGACACAAAAAUACAAAAAAUAUUGUCCCUUAUUGUGUUAAUUACCUGUGUGCAUGUGUGUGUGUGAUGAAUCGUAGUAGUUGGAUUGUUAUCGCUGGUUGUGUGUGGCUGUGAUCUGUGUAGUCUAUAGCUUGUUGAUUUGUGUGUUGUGUUUGUGAUUAUGGUUGUGUUUGUGUUGUGUUCUGUGACGUAGAUGGUGUGUGUGUUGCGUGACUGUGGGCGAGCGAUGGUGUAC
rnacentral:rRNA from 1 species